GGAUUCCAUCGGCCUACCAGAGUGCGCAACAAGCGCAUGACUGCUGCUGUCGUGGAGUGAUGAUCUAGAUAUCUGUGCCCUGCAUUCACCCCCAGCGAGAUAGGACUCGUCGAGUUUCGGAAGGAUUUAAGUUCAUGGCGUCGGCGUUAAGCUUGAUCAGCGUCACGGCGUCGCGGAAUACAUGUGUCGAUCUCGACAGAACAGGGGUCUGCGGAGGCGUCGUGGUGACGAUGCGGCGAUUGCUGGAUCCGCAGUGUAUCUGUCCCACGGGAUGUGUUACUGGGGUCAGAUAACGGCCAGACACAUGGAUUUCCACUCCGCAAUCUGGCGCUCGUAGAGAACUUUUUGCUAGCUUUGGCAUUUAGAUUUAAGAGCAUAGACUGAGUGGAUUCAUGAAGCGAUGAUUGUGAAGAGGAGUCGAUGUAUGUUGAAUGAUUUGCGACAAUGGAGCUAGAAAAGCUAGAAUCUAGCGAGAUAACACUGGUGGAAACAGAAGCUAGGACGAUAUCCAAGUUCUUCAGCUUGGCACAACUAAUGGGCAGAGAAGAGUCCUCAACAAGCCUCCGAUUCUGGCUAAGGGAGACCGAGCUGAGUGACGGGUGGGGAUCAGGUAGCUCCUCAACAACGAGGCAAGCAACGAUCCCCUUGUCGCCUUACGCAGGAUUUGAAAGCCCACAUAAGUCAAAAUUAAUGCAGCAAAGGCCAUGCAAGCCACAUCGUGCAGGUCGCGGUAUCUUCUGGUGCUUUCGGCACAGAAGUCUUAACCUGAUAUGAUGUGGCGAGAGUGUAAUGUAGCUGAAUUGAUUGUCGAUCAUCUUGUAUGCAAUUGGAGCAGACACUGCCGGAAUUAGUACCUAGUACAGUACUGCCAAGAAUUGGGCAUGCGGCAACGCUAUGCACAAGCGGUGCUGCACAUUGUACAGUUACUUUCAUGGACGAGGCUAGUGAUCAUCAGCACCAAUCUAACAAUAGUCAUCUACUCAAGGAGCCCACCUCUCCGGUUGUGAAUUGCAUAGGUCAAGUGCGACUUAAGAAGAAGCAGAGGCAGCAAGCUACUCCUUGGAGCCCUUCUUCCACUCAGUGACUUGCAUUGAUCACUGUCGAAAAACUAGCAUAUGUGACACGCUUGCUAAUGCGACGCGAUUGUAGUUCAAGCUUCAGUCCUAUUUUUGAUAGUAUCUAAGAAAAUGAAAACAACAAGUAGAUAAAGCGGGGAGUUCUGAGAAUUUGGAAGGGUAGGGCACAAGACCCUCUGCUUAGAGUGAGCUGGGCCUUUGAAAGCUUCCAAGGUUGAGUCUCGGAACCCAGUAGUAGCUGUUGAGGAUUUUGACAAUAUUAGAUUUCCUUCGUAAACAGAACUCCAGGAUUUCAGACAUCAUCGUACAAGAAUGGUAACCAAGUAUGUUUGCUACAAGAGAUUUUGAAUGCCAUUUGUGUCCGA